GACGAACGCUGGCGGCGUGCUUAACACAUGCAAGUCGAACGGAAAGGCCCCUUUGGGGGUACUCGAGUGGCGAACGGGUGAGUAACACGUGAGUAACCUGCCCUUGACUUCGGGAUAACUUCAGGAAACUGGGGCUAAUACCGGAUAGGAAUCCUUGCUGCAUGGUGGGGGUUGGAAAGCUUCGGCGGUUUUGGAUGGACUCGCGGCUUAUCAGCUUGUUGGUGGGGUAGUGGCUUACCAAGGCUUUGACGGGUAGCCGGCCUGAGAGGGCGACCGGCCACAUUGGGACUGAGAUACGGCCCAGACUCCUACGGGAGGCAGCAGUGGGGAAUAUUGCACAAUGGGCGGAAGCCUGAUGCAGCAACGCCGCGUGCGGGAUGACGGCCUUCGGGUUGGAGACCGCUUUCAGCAGGGGCGAAGCUUGUGGUGACGGUACCUGCAGAAGAAGCACCGGCUAACUACGUG
rnacentral:rRNA from 1 species